UCAGAUUGUUGUUUAGACUUGAUUUUAUUUAAAUGAUCUUAAUAAUCCAUUUUAUUUAAAUGAGCAGACCCGGAUGUGCGUCGGAGCUAUCCGGAUGUUGAGUGGGGGUCUCUAGAAGGUGGGAACCACUGUUAUGACCAUGAUGAAGCUGUCCAUUUCCUAUGGAUAACAUUGGAGGGGCCUGGCUAUUUGGACAGGCCGUGUUUAUGUAUUUGCUUGAAAUUAAUGGAGCAGACCCGGAUGUGCGUCGGAUCUAUCCGGAUGAGCAGGGGUCCCUGGAAGGUAGGAACCGCUGUUAUGACCAUGAUGAAGCUGUUCAUUUCCUAUGAACAGCAUUGGAGGGGCCUGACCAUUUGGACAGGCCGUGUUUAUGUAUUUGCUUGAAAUUAAUGGAGUAGACCCGGAUGUGCGUCGGAGCUAUCCGGAUGACGGGGGUCCCUGGAAGGUGGAAACCGCUGUUAUGACCAUGAUGAAGCUGUCCAUUUCCUAUGGACAGCAUUGGAGGGGCCUGACCAUUUGGACAGGCCGUGUUUAUAUCUGUAUUUGCAGGGACCACACCCUUAACCUAGACCACACCCUAAACCUAUAACCUAAACCUAUUCUCAAUUCCCUAAAGCUAUAACCUAUAACCUA